rnacentral:rRNA from 1 species
AGGAACUAAGGGCGCACAGUGGAUGCCUUGGCACUAAGAGCCGAUGAAGGACGAAGGGCGAAUUCGCGGCCGCUAA